CGAUGCGAUCAUACCAGCACUAAUGCACCGGAUCCCAUCAGAACUCCGAAGUCUAAGCGUGCUUGGGCGAGAGUAGUACUAGGAUGGGUGACCCCCUGGGAAGUCCUCGUGUUGCAUCCC
rnacentral:rRNA from 1 species